ACUAAGACCAUUCACUAUGGAGGCUGAGGAUGACUUCCCAGAACUUGUUUUCAGUCCUUCUGAAUAAACCAUUCAGUUCCCAGAAGCCUUCAUCUGACACCCUAUGGGAUCACCACAUCUUACAGGAAAUUGUAUGAAGGUAUAGCGAAAAGGAAAAGUGAGAGAGGGCAUUUUAAUCAGCUUGAUUUUCCCAGUUCUAACAGGUCCCCAUUACAGAGCAAAAAGACAAAGUAGGCAGUGGAUUAGACAAGAACACAACAGUUGCCAUGAAUUACAUCCAUGUUUCAUCUUGUCCUUUUAACUAAAUUGGUGAUGUGAAUUACUUUGUAAACAAUGUGGACAUUUUCUUCAGUAACAAUAAUUUCAGAGUAAAUGAGCCCUGGUUGAAUAGAAGCACAGCCAACCAUUUCACCACAAGGUGUACAAUCCCUGGGCUGACACUCUUAUAAUGGGAGAAAUAAUCUGGGAGUGAGAAAAGUUGCCCAGCCAACAACCACAAUGACAACCAACCUUGGCAGCUGAGAACACUUCAAAUAGAAAAUGUCUUUGAUCAAGAUAUUUCAACAGACUGCUGAAAAUGGAAAAUAUCUGUGCCAUUUCUUCUGAUGUUGAAGACUAAACAGAGAAAACCAGAACUAGCGCCUCUAGAAAUGGAACUGGAAUCACUCUACUUAUGGGGACCCGCCACUGACCAUCUCACAAUCUCUGCAUCCUUCGCUUCCUUUUGGAAUGACCACAGCCCUCACCAGUGGGGACUGGACAUUACUUUAUCAGAUGCAUCUCUGUGAAAGGGGGAGGAGCAUUACAGAGCUGUGAAUGGGUGCGAUUUUCCCUGCCCCCACUUACAAGUGGCCAGACUGGACUACAAUUCCCACGAUGAAUUGGGAGCGUGAAGUGGAUAUAUACAUGGAGGAGGAACCAAGGAGAGACACGUGGAGAGGCUACUCCUAGGACAUUAGUGUUUUGGCAGAGACAAUGGCGGCUAUUAUCUUGAUCAAAAGAAGGUACCUGAAACUUGUGGCGAGCUUUCAGCCUUUGGGGCAAGCCUGUUUGGCUGGGCAUUUGCCCAUGAGGGGACAGGUAAUUUUUGGAGUUUGAUUAGGAAUCUGUUAUUUAUAAUCCUUUCUUCUCUAUGUACACCAGUUAAAAAU